AUUGAACGCUGGCGGCAGGCCUAACACAUGCAAGUCGAACGAUUGGCGGACGGGUGAGUAAUGUCUGGGAAACUGCCCGAUGGAGGGGGAUAACUACUGGAAACGGUAGCUAAUACCGCAUACCAUCGGAUGUGCCCAGAUGGGAUUAGCUAGAAGGUGGGGUAACGGCUCACCUAGGCGACGAUCCCUAGCUGGUCUGAGAGGAUGACAGGGCCCAGUGGAAUUGAGAGACGGGCCAAACUCAUUCGGGAGGCAUCGGUGGGGAAGAGUGCACAAUGGGGGAAACCCUGAUGCAGCAACGCCGCGUGCGGGAUGACGGCCGUCGGGUUGUAAACCGCUUUCAGCCAUGACGCGGUAGUGGCAGAAGAAGCACCGGCUAACUACGUGCCAGCAGCCGCGGUAAUAC
rnacentral:rRNA from 1 species